UCCAAAAAACCAAAACAAAAAACAGAAGCAAUGUAACUAAUUCAAUAAACACAAAAAAUGGUCCACAUCAAAAAAAAAAAAAUCUUAAAAAAAGAGGGAGGCAUGAAUGACCAAGCUUGGAUCUUUCAAAGCUCGUGAUGUUUCUGAUGGUGGGCACGCAGACUAAACACCUGUCCAAUAAGGAGCAAAUGCUGAUUCGGCUAACAGCCCUGGAAGCCUGCACACACACACAGAUCAGCUACGGGCUGUUUACAGCCUCCCCUUCACCCUUACAUGACCCACUUUUAACACUUAGGGUCCAUGUUAGAAAAGACCAGUGUGUGGGUGAUGCAACAUCUAUCUAUACCUGAGAAGUCAGAGUUCUGCACUCCCUGAGGACAAUAAAUAAACUCCAAGAAAUUAUAAACAGUCUUUUAGCAACCUUAAAUAAAUUAAAAAGGGCAUAUCAAUAUUAGUGGGGAAGAUUUCCAGUUAUAGAUGGUAGUAGAUUGCACUCAUGCAUUUACCCUCUCCACCCUUAAAGUUUUUUGGUUUUGUUAUUGUUUUAAAGGUAAAAACCCACAAGGGAAAAAAGAGUGGGAAAGAAAUAUCAAUAGCAUUUUGGAAGCUGGUGAGCCGGUAAACGAAUACGUGCUGACUGACUUAGCAUGCCCAGAAAGCUGAAUCCUAAACUGGCAGUGGCUAAAACAACCUGACAUAUAUAAACCCCCACCCACCCAGAGGCUCAGAACUGGCUGCCAAGGUGCCAGGGGAAGUGGAGUGAAGAUGAUGUCAAGACAAGGGGACUGGCUGGAAGUCUAUUCGAUAAAAAAAUAAUCUAAUGGACGUUCCAUACCUGUGGCACAGAAAAGGUAAAGCUAUAGAGACAGAGAGUAGAUUAGUGGUUUUCUGGGACCGGGGUUGGGCUCGGGGCAGGACUGCAAGUGGGAAGAGGGACUUCUGGGGGCAUGAUGGAAAUGUUCUAAAAUUGGGGUAUGAUGAUUACACAUCAAAUUCUCUAAAAAUAUUUGAACUGUACACUUAAAACAAGGAAUUUUAUGGUAUGUACAUAGACCUCAAUAAAGCUCAAUAAAUUAAACUUCAAAAAAAAAAAAGAAGAAAAACAAGAGAUGAACAAGCUCCAAAACCAUCUGCUCAGACUCCAUUUUCACCUGUAGGGCUUCUAUACAGCCAACCCAACUGACUGCUUAGAAUAGCACAUGUAUCUUUGAUGAUACUACAGAAUUACUAGGUUUUUCUCCUCCUUAGGUGUGAUAAUGGCAUUCUGAUUUUUUUUUCAAGAGUAGUUUUUAAAGAGAUAACAUACUGAAAUACUUACAGAUGAAAUGACAUGAUGUCUAGCAUUUGCUUCAAAAGCUUAUUUUUUGUACAUUUGAAAUUUUUUAUAAAUGUUAAAAUUAAAAAAGGGAAUAAAGAAGAGACCGCAUGGACUAUGGGUGGAUCACUUUCCAAAGCUGAGUUUGGAAUCAUUACAUAUCUACAUUUUCAUCUCUUGGACUCAUCAGAAACAAGAACUUGCUUGUCCUCUCCUAAGAAACUGCUACACUUCCUAGGAACUACAGGACUGCUGAUUCAAAGUCUAACUCCUUGACUAGUGCUCAUGACACACUCUCAUUGUAUGGUUAGAAAACAGGGUCAAUAACCCCCAAAGUGGCGCUGCUCUGUGCCUUCUGCCCACAGACUGUAGAAGCUGAAGGAGCCACAAAGUUUAAAACCCUGUUUUAUCCUCUCCAGCGAAGGAACCUCUGGUCCUCUGGGAGGGAGGGAGGCAGAAUCUAAUGGUUACACCCCAGGAUACAAACACAUGCAGAUAGACAGUCGUGCCUGGCACUAGAGAUAAAAUGAUCAACAAGACAGAUCCAUCUCUGCCCUCAGGGGUGACAGACUAAUCAACAUUCAAAUACAAUAAAGUAUUGCAAGUGCUGUGGUAGGAAGUACAAGGUGCUACAGGAGACAAAGAAAGGGCGCCUGCCUCUGACGGGCUGGUGGAGGGGGUGUGGAAAGCCUCUUCGGGAAAGAAGCCAGCAGUCCCCUGCUGGGCUCUGGUGGCUGAACCAGAGAAACUCUGUACUCAGGACACGAGGCUGGGACGAGCUGCUACAACCCACAGCUGGAGCAUGAACUUAAAGUCCGCACUAGAAGGCAAAACUCCAGCCUCCAUGACCUUCCCUGAGUUCCAAAGGGCAGAUUCAAACAGUUGCUAAUCAAGGGAGGAGCAGGUAAGAAACCACCUGAGGCAAGAUUAAAGGGACCGGAGAAGAUGAGGAGACCAUCUGAGACCCUGCACACAUCCUAAUCUUGUCAGCAAUCUCAUCCUUUUGAAACUCUGCAGGAGAAUGCAAGACUGUUACUGCCUUCGUCCUUAUUGCAUACCCCUGACCAUGAGCCCCGACUAUAAGACCUCUCCCUAUUCCCCAGGGAGGGGAGCACAGUUCUUGAGGUGCUAGCCUACUGUGUUCCCUCUUCGCCUGGCAAAGAAAUAAAGGCACUCUUUCUUUCUCCUCCAUAACUGUCUCAGUAUUUCUGUACAGCAUCGGUGCACAGACAGCCAAGAUUUUGGCAACAUGAAAGAGCCCUAAACAAACAAACAAAAAGGCAUCUGGAAGAAACAGAACUAAGGGCGAAAAACACCUAUAAUUAACAUCCUCAGACAGCUAAGAUACGAUAUCCAUGAAACAGGAAGAGAAUGUUUUUAAUUUUUUUUGAAAAGAAAUAUUCCAGAAACAAAAAAAAUAUUGAAGUUUAAAAUUGCAAAAAAAAUUUUAAGUUACUAGAAGGGUUGGAAGAUAAUAAUAUGGCUGAGGAAAUGUCACAGACAAGGCAAAGGAGAAAUAAAAGUGAAUGAACAAGAGAAAAAAAGAAUUAACUAAUGAAGCCCAAAGUCUGAAUACAAAAAGAGAAAAGACAGAAAAUGGGGAGAAUGAUAAACAACAAAGAAUAAUUCUCAGAACUGAAGAAGUUACUUAUUCACACUAAAAAGGUCCACCAAGUGCUCAGCAAUAUGAAUGAACAAAUCCCACACCUGGCUCAUUACAGUGACAUUUUAAAACACCUGGGAUAAAGAUCUGGAAAGUUUGAAGUGGGGGGAGUUAACAAAGAAGAGUUAACAAAGAAUCAGGAAUAAAACUGGCAUUAGACUUCUCGAAAGCAAUACUGGAAGGUAAAAGGUUCUUUAAAAUUCUCCGAGAAAAUUACUUCCAACUUAGACCAUACCCAGCCAAACAUCAAUUGUAAGGGGAGACUACGGCAUUUUCCAGACAAGCAAGAACCCAAAAGUCUACCUCCCACAUAUCCCUUCUCAGGAAGCUAUUAAACCUUGUGCUUCAGGAAGCUGGGAAUAAACCAAGAAAAGGAAGAUGAAGAAUAUAGGAAUUGCAGAUGCAUCCUAGAAAACAGGCAAAGAGAAUUUGAAAGAUGAUGCUGAAGCCCGAAAUGAGAGCUAGGCAGCAGGACUGGGGAGCAGACUGGAGCAGGAAUAUGAGGGACUCCAAGGAGUUCCCCAAGGGAAAAAAGGAAUGGAGAGAUCACAUGACAUAGUUGAGAGCCACUAAGAAGUUAACAGUUCCAUGAAAAUGUGAAGAUAGGUCAUAAAAAAACAA